ACGGCCAACAAGCGUGAAAGCGUAGCAUCUUCUUAUCAGCUUCUUAAAACCUGAUAUCUUCUUAAUACCUGAUAGGGGUGGUAUUUGAACCUAAGAUAUAUAACUAAUUUUUGCAAGUUGGCAGAGCACUUAAAGCAUGCUUCACCUCCGCCGCGGGUUGUCCCGGUAUUCCACUAUCUUCGUGAUCGGCCCACGUAUG